rnacentral:rRNA from 1 species
UAUUGCACAAUGGGGGAAAUCCUGAUGCAGCGACGCCGCGUGAAGGAAGAAGUAUCUCGGUAUGUAAACUUCUAUCAGCAGGGAAGAAANUGUCGGUACUUGAAUAAGAAGCCCCGUCUAACUACGUCCCAGCAGCCGCGGUAAUACGUAGGGGGCAAGCGUUAUCCGGAUUUACUGGGUGUAAAGGGAGCGUAGACGGAAGAGCAAGUCUGAUGUGAAAGGCUGGGGCUUAACCCCAGGACUGCAUUGGAAACUGUUGUUCUAGAGUGCCGGAGAGGUAAGCGGAAUUCCUAGUGUAGCGGUGAAAUGCGUAGAUAUUAGGAGGAACACCAGUGGCGAAGGCGGCUUACUGGACGGUAACUGACGUUGAGGCUCGAAAGCGUGGGGAGCAAA